rnacentral:rRNA from 1 species
GGAUCAGUACGCUGGUCGUGCCAAUGGUAUGCACUGGCCUUGCUGAUUCCUCCCUCUUGAUGAGCCGUAAUGCCAUUAAUUUGGUGUUGCGGGGAAUCAGGACUGUUACUUUGAAAAAAUUAGAGUGUUUAAAGCAGGCAAGCGCUUGAAUACAUUAGCAUGGAAUAAUGAAAUAGGACG